rnacentral:rRNA from 1 species
UGAGCAAUCUGCCCUUCACUCGGGGAUAAGCCUCGGAAACGAGGUCUAAUACCCGAUACGACCAGCCUUCGCAUGAGGUGCUGGUGGAAAGUCUUGUCGGUGGAGGAUGUGCUCGCGGCCUAUCAGCUUGUUGGUGGGGUAAUGGCCUACCAAGACUUCGACGGGUAGCCGGCCUGAGAGGGUGACCGGCCACACUGGGACUGAGACACGGCCCAGACCUCCUACGGGGAG